AUUGAACGCUGGCGGCAUGCCUUACACAUGCAAGUCGAACGGCAGCACGGGUGCUUGCACCUGGUGGCGAGUGGCGAACGGGUGAGUAAUACAUCGGAACGUACCUUAUCGUGGGGGAUAACGCAGCGAAAGCUGUGCUAAUACCGCAUACGCCCUGAGGGGGAAAGCGGGGGAUCGCAAGACCUCGCGCGAUUAGAGCGGCCGAUGCCUGAUUAGUUAGUUGGUGGGGUAAAAGCCCACCACGGCGACGAUCAGUAGCUGGUCUGAGAGGACGACCAGCCAAACGGGAACUGAGACACGGCCCAGACUCCGACGGGGGGCAGCAGUGGGGAAUUUUGGACAAGGGGGGCAACCCUGAUCCAGCAAUGCCGCGUGAGUGAAGAAGGCCUUCGGGUUGUAAAGCUCUUUUGUCAGGGAAGAAACACCGGCUCUAACACAGUCCGGGAAUGACGGUACCUGAAGAAUAAGCACCGGCUAACUACGUGCCAGCAGCCGCAGUAA
rnacentral:rRNA from 1 species